rnacentral:lncRNA from 1 species
GAAUAGGUAGACAAUGACUCAGAAACACAAAUAGAAGCCGGAGGGCGGAGACCUCAUUGGUCAAACCGGCCGUCGGCAUCGAAUAUCUCUUUAUUUUGCUCAAUCGCCAAAUCCAACGAUUGGAAUGCGAACAAGGUCCAUCACUUUCUGAUCAAAGUCAGUUCAAUUUCACUUGCAUUUAUACAUGUUCAUUUUCGGAUUUUGAACAGUUAAACUCAAUGAAUUGGUGGCAGUUGCAGAUUAAAAUAUUGAUACGUCUUUCAUCAGAACUGUGAUCAUGUAAAACAAGACGAAUAUUGCUGAAAUUAAGCUGGCGGAUUAAGUCUUUCCCUCACAAUAGUUACUUGAAGUUUUUCUUAGGUAAAUUUUCGGCUAAACAUCUCUAAGCGGAGGGUAUAGUUCUUAGAAGUUACAGUUCAAGUUAUUGUUUCACGGGUUCAAAUCUGAAUUGCUUUCUACUACUUUUGGUAUACUUAAACCUAUCUUGCUCGCCUAUUAACCAUGUGAAGCAAAAAAAAUAAAAAAUGGUAAUUGUGCUCCAAGAUGCAUUGCUAAUUUAUGCUCUUCUUAAUCUAGUUGAUGAGUCAAUGUUUCAAUAACAGAUUCUCUUCUGAUAACUGUGUUGUGCGUACUUUCGAAAAUGAUGUCGUACCCGUAUCGGAUCCUCCAAAAAUACACUAUUUUGGAGGAUCCGACAAACACCCGGCAAUAUUUUCGGAGAGUCCGGACAACAUAGUCUGAUAAUGGGUACCUGAUGUUAGAGACUCUUUCGAUAGUCUGGUAAUAGUGGUGAGUGCAGUGGAUAUAUGCUUACUAUCUGUUUGAAGAAAGCUGGGUUGACAAUUCAAGGUCUAAGAAUCAAUAUGCUCUGUUAACACUUAGCAGCUGAACACUUUGUAGUAUUACCGUUACCCUCGUGGAACUUAUGCCAUAUUGCUCAUUCCUUAUGCUGAGCUAUAUUCUUGCUUUAAAAUAUCAUUUGCUCUUUUUACCUUUUUUGGUCAGGAGCAGGAUACUGGGGACAACUUUUUUCUUUGACUGUCUAGGAAUAUGGACAAAACACAUGCAUCUGAAAACUCGCAAAUGCCUUUUGUAGUUCUGUCUCAGUAAGAAGUUUGUAAGGUGUCACGAAAGUAUUUCUUGUGUAUAACAAUAGCAAAACUGUGAAUUCAAGCUAGCAAGUCGGAUUUUGUUAAAAGCACUCUUUGACACACUUGACAUAGUAACAACAUUAAGAAACGAGGUCCCACAGACUGAAGGGAUAUAAUUACUGAAUGGAUACGAUUGUGGCUAACACCUGAACCAUAGAAGGAGCAUUUUCUAUGAGAGUACGAAACCACUAGCCAUUUGACCUAAUUCAUGACAAGCUUACCAUGAGAGGGUGGAACGCUGGAGAAUGAUUCAAAUUCCUACAGGCCAAGGGAUUAGUUGAAUGCAUAAAUUAUGCAG